CUGGUAAAAAAGGUUACCAGUGGAAAGCCCUAUAUUGUGAAGUAAACAGGCAGCUUCAAGACAUUCAAGAUCCUUUUCAGCCAAGUGGAGAUUAAUUUUAGGUUGAUUGUCAGCAACCUCUAUCCAUUUUCUCAAGCCCUGAAAAAUCUCAGUGGCAACGCUAGCACAUUUUGCUGCUGAUUUAAUUCUCUUCUUGUCACUAAACCUCAUCGCAAACCUUACAACAGAAGUCCACCUCACAUUAGGAU
rnacentral:misc_RNA from 1 species